UUACUGACGCUUAAGCUCGAAGGUGCGGGUAUCGAACAGGAUUAGAUACCCUGGUAGUCCGCACGGUAAACGAUGGAUGCCCGCCGUUGGCGCCCUGCGCCUGCGGCCAAGCGAAAGCAUUAAGCAUCCCACCUGGGGAGUACGCCGGCAACGGUGAAACUCAAAGGAAUUGACGGGGGCCCGCACAAGCGGAGGAACAUGUGGUUUAAUUCGAUGAUACGCGAGGAACCUUACCCGGGCUUGAAUUGCAGUCGCUGCCCACAGAGACGUGGGCUUCCCUUCGGGGCGUCUGUGAAGGUGCUGCAUGGUUGUCGUCAGCUCGUGCCGUGAGGUGUCGGCUUAAGUGCCAUAACGAGCGCAACCCCCUUUCCCAGUUGCCAUCGGGUGAUGCCGGGCACUCUGGGGACACUGCCACCGCAAGGUGCGAGGAAGGUGGGGAUGACGUCAAAUCAGCACGGCCCUUACGUCCGGGGCUACACACGUGUUACAAUGGCCGGUACAGAGGGACGGUGCAAUGCAAGUUGCAUCCAAUCUUGAAAUCCGGUCCCAGUUCGGACUGGGGUCUGCAACCCGACCCCACGAAGCUGGAUUCGCUAGUAAUCGCGCAUCAGCCAUGGCGCGGUGAAUACGUUCCCGGGCCUUGUACACACCGCCCGUCAAGCCAUGAAA
rnacentral:rRNA from 1 species